rnacentral:rRNA from 1 species
UACGUAGGGACCAAGCGUUGUUCGGAUUUACUGGGCGUAAAGGGCGCGUAGGCGGCAUGGCAAGUCACUUGUGAAAUCUCCGGGCUUAACUCGGAACGGCCAAGUGAAACUGUCAAGCUAGAGUGUGGAAGGGGCAAUCGGAAUUCUUGGUGUAGCGGUGAAAUGCGUAGAUAUCAAGAGGAACACCUGAGGUGAAGACGGGUUGCUGGGCCAACACUGACGCUGAUGCGCGAAAGCGUGGGGAGCAAACAGG